rnacentral:tRNA from 1 species
AUUACUUUGGCAGAUAAGUGUAUUGAAUUUAGAAUUCAAUUAUGUAAUUUUUAUUACAAGUAAUA